CGAGGUGGAGCAUGGCGGUCUGUGCAGCGCCCUGAUAAGGCGCAGGACCAGGUUCGACUCCUGGCACCUCGACCA
rnacentral:tRNA from 1 species